rnacentral:rRNA from 1 species
GACGAACGCUGGCGGCGUGCUUAACACAUGCAAGUCGAACGGGGCGAAGUGAUAGCUUGCUAUUAUGGAGCCUAGUGGCAAACGGGGUGAGUAACGCGUAGGCAACCUGCCCUUCAGAUGGGGACAACACCUCGAAAGGGGGUGCUAAUACCGCAUGAUACUAUCGGGCCGCAUGGUCUGAUAGUCAAAGAUUUAUUGCUGAAAGAUGGCCUCGCGUCUGAUUAGCUAGUUGGUGGGGUAACGGCCCACCAAGGCGACGAUCAGUAGCCGGACUGAGAGGUUGACCGGCCACAUUGGGACUGAGACACGGCCCAGACUCCUACGGGAGCAGCAGUAGGGAAUCUUCGGCAAUGGGCGAAAGCCUGACCGAGCAACGCCGCGUGAAUGAUGAAGGCCUCGGUGUAAAUCUGUUAUAAGGGAAGAAUGACUCUAGUAGGAAAUGGCUAGAGUGU